CCUACGGGAGGCAGCAGUGGGGAAUAUUGGACAAUGGGGGCAACCCUGAUCCAGCCAUGCCGCGUGUGUGAAGAAGGCCCUCGGGUUGUAAAGCACUUUCAGCGAGGAAGAACGCCUAGCGGUUAAUACCCGCUAGGAAAGACAUCACUCGCAGAAGAAGCACCGGCUAACUCCGUGCCAGCAGCGGCGGUAAUACGGAGGGUGCAAGCGUUAAUCGGAAUUACUGGGCGUAAAGCGCGCGUAGGUGGCUUGAUAAGCCGGUUGUGAAAGCCCCGGGCUCAACCUGGGAACGGCAUCCGGAACUGUCAAGCUAGAGUGCAGGAGAGGAAGGUAGAAUUCCCGGUGUAGCGGUGAAAUGCGUAGAGAUCGGGAGGAAUACCAGUGGCGAAGGCGGCCUUCUGGACUGACACUGACACUGAGGUGCGAAAGCGUGGGUAGCAAACAGGAUUAGAUACCCUGGUAGUCCACGCCGUAAACGAUGUCGACCAGCCGUUGGGUGCCUAGCGCACUUUGUGGCGAAGUUAACGCGAUAAGUCGACCGCCUGGGGAGUACGGCCGCAAGGUUAAAACUCAAAUGAAUUGACGGA
rnacentral:rRNA from 1 species